UUUCUUUUAUUUUUGCUCAAGACAAAAAACCCAUAUAUGCAAUACACACAAACCUCACAAUAGAAUGGGGGACCCACCACUAACAGACUCAACAUACACACUCACCUUCCAUUAAAGACCGACUUCAUCACCCAUACACCAUACCUCACGAAAUACACUCUCCUCUAUCUCCAUUUUCUUAUACACAUAUUCAUGCACCACUGAUUCACACACUCACCUCUGACCUCACAUGCAGACCUCACCGAAGGAGAACACGCAUACACAACUUCACACACAGCUUCAAUGUCCCCGAGAGAACACACAUCACGCACACACUAAUUACACCGUCACUCAGAGCUUACGCAUGCACAGAUCCAAAAAUAGAGACAAACCCAAACUCACAUACCAAUAUUACCUACGUCAUAUCACCAGAAAAUGAAGUUUGGGUGAGAAAUUGGGAGAGAAGAGAGAGAUAUUUAAGCGAGAGGGGAGAGAAAAGAGAUAUGGGUUGACUGUUUCGGUGAACUCUUCGUCGAAAAAUGCCAUUGCUGCCCAAAUUUUGGUCUGUCCACUAUCUUUCAUCCUCGUCUGAGCUCACCAGAGCUCCGACACCGAGAAAACAGUAACUUCGAUCGAGUCAGCUUCAAAAACUCACUGGAAAAUGUUAAGUUUAGGUGAUUGUCAUGUUUUCCGUUGUGGGACACUACUUUCUUUAUUAUCAGUUUGGGGUUUAGGUUCUAUUCGCCUCAAUCGAUUCGUCACAAUCAGUUUCAGAUUUCAAUUUUUCAUUACCGAGGUUGGAGUUUUUUCGUCUUUGAGGUUUCUACUUGGGAUAUUCGGACGCGGUUUUCGUCUUUUCACUCGAUUGAUAUUUGAGUUUGAAAGUUAUAAAUCGAGAUGGUUCGUUCUACUUUAUCGUACAAAAAUUAAAAUUGUACUCAUUUGGUCGGGAAAUGGCUCGAGGAAUUUGAAUUAAGAUAUUCGGGGAAUACCCCGACGUAUCAUGUAUGCAAAGGAGGUUCAUGAUGAAGGCUCGAGGCAUUGGGUAAAGCAUUGGAGCCUUGUCUAGGAUUAGUUAGAUUCUGAUUUACAUUUUUGUAUUUUUCUAUUUUUUGGGACUAUAUAAUCCGGACUGGACAUUAUUUUGGUUUUGAA